rnacentral:rRNA from 1 species
UACGGAGGGUGCGAGCGUUAUCCGGAAUUACUGGGUUUAAAGGGUGCGUAGGCGGCUAAGUAAGUCAGAAGUGAAAGUUUGCGGCUCAACCGUAAAAUUGCUUUUGAUACUGCUUAGCUGGAAUUAGGAUGAGGUCAGCGGAAUGUGGCAUGUAGCGGUGAAAUGCAUAGAUAUGACAUAGAACGCCAAUUGCGAAGGCAGCUGGCUAGACCGAUAUUGACGCUGAGGCACGAAAGCGUGGGGAGCGAACAGG